rnacentral:lncRNA from 1 species
GGUAAGUGACAUUUCCUUCUAACAUAAUUUUUUUGUUAGCACAAUAUUCUUUGUUUGGUUUUUCUUUUUUAUUUUAUUUUAUUUUGUCAAUAGUAGGUCAAAUUUAUUGAAUUUUCAUGUGCAGAUUCAUGUGAUUUAUUUGUGUGUAAAGCUAAUUAAGUAUUGAAUUUUGAUAUUAACCGUCAUAACCCAAUAAAAGUAAAAAAUGUAUUUAUGAGCUAUGGCAUGUUGAGUGAUUUGAUCUUCAUUGCCUAUUUGGCUUCACUUUCUUUG